AUUGAACGCUGGCGGCAGGCUUAACACCUGCAAGUCGAACGAGUGGCGGACGGGUGAGUCAUGUUUGGGAAUCUAGCUUAUGGAGGGGGAUAACUACGGGAAACUGUAGCUAAUACCGCGUACCAUCGGAUGUGCCCAAGUGGGAUUAGGUAGUGGGUGGGGUAAAGGCUCACCAAGCCGACGAUCUCUAGCUGGUCUGAGAGGAUGACCAGCCAAACUGUAACUGAGACACGGCCCAGACUACUACGGGAGGCAGCAGUGGGGAAUAUUGCGCAAAGGGGGCAACCUGACGCAGCCAUGCCGCGUGAAUGAAGAAGGCAUUCGGGUUGUAAAGUUCUUUCGGUAGAGAGGCGUUAACUGCAGAAGAAGCACCGGCUAACUCCGGGCCAGCAGCCGCGGUAAUUC
rnacentral:rRNA from 1 species